rnacentral:rRNA from 1 species
GACGAACGCUGGCGGCGUGCCUAAUACAUGCAAGUAGAACGCUGAAGGAGGAGCUUGCUCUUCUGGAUGAGUUGCGAACGGGUGAGUAACGCGUAGGUAACCUGCCUGGUAGCGGGGGAUAACUAUUGGAAACGAUAGCUAAUACCGCAUAACAGUAGAUGUUGCAUGACAUUUGCUUAAAAGGUGCAAUUGCACCACUACCAGAUGGACCUGCGUUGUACUAGCUAGUUGGUGGGGUAACGGCUCACCAAGGCGACGAUACAUAGCCGACCUGAGAGGGUGAUCGGCCACACUGGGACUGAGACACGGCCCAGACUCCUACGGGAGGCAGCAGUAGGGAAUCUUCGGCAAUGGACGGAAGUCUGACCGAGCAACGCCGCGUGAGUGAAGAAGGUUUUCGGAUCGUAAAGCUCUGUUGUAAGAGAAGAACGAGUGUGAGAGUGGAAAGUUCACACUGUGACGGUAUCUUACCAGAAAGGGACGGCUAACUACGUG